rnacentral:rRNA from 1 species
GAGUUUGAUCGUGGCUCAGAUUGAACGCUGGCGGAAUGCUUUACACAUGCAAGUCGAGCGGCAGCGCGGGGCAACCUGGCGGCGAGCGGCGAACGGGUGAGUAAUGCAUCGGAACAUGUCCAAGUCGUGGGGGAUAGCCCGGCGAAAGCCGGAUUAAUACCGCAUGUGCCCGAGAGGGGAAAGUGGGGGACCGCAAGGCCUCACGCGAUUGGGUUGGCCGAUGUCCGAUUAGCUAGUUGGCGGGGUAAGAGCCCACCAAGGCGAUGAUCGGUAGCUGGUCUGAGAGGAUGAUCAGCCACACUGGGACUGAGACACGGCCCAGACUCCUACGGGAGGCAGCAGUGGGGAAUUUUGGACAAUGGGGGAAACCCUGAUCCAGCCAUUCCGCGUGAGUGAAGAAGGCCUUCGGUUGUAAG